AAAGCUCUGUUGUUAGGGAAGAACAAGUACAAGAGUAACUGCUUGUACCUUGACGGUACCUAACCAGAAAGCCACGGCUAACUACGUGCCAGCAGCCGCGGUAAUACGUAGGUGGCAAGCGUUGUCCGGAAUUAUUGGGCGUAAAGCGCGCGCAGGCGGUCUUUUAAGUCUGAUGUGAAAGCCCACGGCUUAACCGUGGAGGGUCAUUGGAAACUGGAGGACUUGAGUACAGAAGAGGAGAGUGGAAUUCCACGUGUAGCGGUGAAAUGCGUAGAGAUGUGGAGGAACACCAGUGGCGAAGGCGACUCUCUGGUCUGUAACUGACGCUGAGGCGCGAAAGCGUGGGUAGCGAACAGGAUUAGAUACCCUGGUAGUCCACGCCGUAAACGAUGAGUGCUAGGCGUUAGGGGGUUUCCGCCCCUUAGUGCUGAAGUUAACGCAUUAAGCACUCCGCCUGGGGAGUACGGCCGCAAGGCUGAAACUCAAAAGAAUUGACGGGGGCCCGCACAAGCGGUGGAGCAUGUGGUUUAAUUCGAAGCAACGCGAAGAACCUUACCAGGUCUUGACAUCCUCUGACACCCCUAGAGAUAGGGCUUUCCCUUCGGGGACAGAGUGACAGG
rnacentral:rRNA from 1 species